CGUGUCGUGAGAUGUUGGGUUAAGUCCCGCAACGAGCGCAACCCUCAUCUUUAGUUGCCAUCGGUUCGGCCGGGCACUCUAGAGAAACUGCCUGCGACGAGCAGGAGGAAGGCGGGGAUGACGUCAAGUCCUCAUGGCCCUUAUGGACUGGGCUACACACGUGCUACAAUGGCGGUUACAACGGGCAGCGAAAGGGUGACCUGGAGCGAAUCCCCAAAAACCGUCCCAGUUCGGAUUGCACUCUGCAACUCGAGUGCAUGAAGUUGGAAUCGCUAGUAAUCGCGGAUCAGCAUGCCGCGGUGAAUACGUUCCCGGGCCUUGUACACACCGCCCGUCACACCAUGGGAGUUGGCUUUACCCGAAGCCGGUGCGCUAACCAUUUUAUGGAGGCAGCCGACCACGGUAAGGUCAGCGACUGGGGUGAAGUCGUAACAAGGUAACCGUAA
rnacentral:rRNA from 1 species